AUUUGGUGAUCUCUGGUCAGCUUAUGUUAAUAUGGAUUUGGUUACCUCUGUCACCUUAUGAAGAUUUCAGAUUUGGUUAUCUCUCGUAUUUACAUACAACUAGUUGAUGUUUUUCAUAUCAGUUGUAGAAAGUCUGAGACAAUCAAAGAAAGAGAAAAAAGAAGAAGAGCAGAAGUCACCAGAAAAUGUAGAUGAGAGUGAGAAAUUAUUUGCCAUGUUAUAGGCGAACUAAAUAAAUCAAAUGUUAACAAAGCAAUGCAUGGGAAAGUUUUUGAGGCCUUUUGGAAGACAAUAGAGACAAUGCUGCCAGACGAUUCAAGUGAACGAUAAGAAGAAUAGGAUUGUCUACUCUGCAAUUGGCAUACCCACCAAGGAAAUGGUAUUUCAUGCCCAGGAAAAACCUGAAAAUGACAAAAUGUUAAUGACUUUGAAUUUAUGAUUUAUGUUUGAAUGUACAAAUAGAAAGUACA